rnacentral:rRNA from 1 species
GUGGCGAACGGGUGAGUAACACGUGAGCAAUCCGCCCUUGACUCUGGGAUAACUGCGGGAAACUGUAGCUAAUACCGGAUACUUUCCUCGCUGGGCAUCCAGCGGGGAAGAAAGAAUUUCGGUCAAGGAUGAGCUCGCGGCCUAUCAGCUAGUUGGUGAGGUAAAGGCUCACCAAGGCGACGACGGGUAGCCGGCCUGAGAGGGUGACCGGCCACGCUGGAACUGAGACACGGUCCAGACUCCUACGGGAGGCAGCAGUGGGGAAUAUUGCACAAUGGGCGAAAGCCUGAUGCAGCAACGCCGCGUGAGGGAUGAAGGCCUUCGGGUUGUAAACCUCUUUUAGCAGGGAGGAAGCGAAAGUGACGGUACCUGCAGAAAAAGCACCGGCUAACUACGUGCCAGCAGCCGCGGUAAUACGUAGGGUGCAAGCGUUGUCCGGAAUUAUUGGGCGUAAAGAGCUCGUAGGCGGUUUGUCACGUCUGCUGUGAAAAUCCGAGGCUCAACCUCGGACUUGCAGUGGGUACGGGCAGGCUAGAGUGCGGUAGGGGAGAAGGGAAUUCCUGGUGUAGCGGUGGAAUGCGCAGAUAUCAGGAGGAACACCAAUGGCGAAGGCACUUCUCUGGGCCGUAACUGACGCUGAGGAGCGAAAGCGUGGGGAGCGAACAGGAUUAGAUACCCUGGUAGUCCAC